CAACAACAACAAAAAAGAAUGUAUUAGAAAAGAAAGCAAAAAAACCUCUUCAGAGGAUUUUUGUAAUGAUAGUCCAAGCAGAAUACGAUAUUCUAAAAACAGCCUUCUCUUGACCCUUCCACACUGUCUAGCUAGUAUACCCCAGGUUUCUAUAUCCUCAACAUUCACUCCUCUGAUCACUUCUCUUCUCCCCUCUGGGGUCAGAUAUUGUGAAAAGAAUAGAUUUGAACUUAUUCUGGGAGCUUCUGCAAGCUUUGCUGGUUAUCUAGCUGGUAUCUAGCUUGUAGUGUCUCACAGCCCUAGGCUACCCACUAAAAGAGCUUACAUUUGCCAGGAGAGGCUCACUAGAUGCUACAUUCUAGCAGAAGAUAGUAGAGAGAAGGAGACUCUGACGAGGCCAAUAACUAAAGCCAACUUCUCAGACGGUAGCAGAGGGCAGCCUGGUAAAUACAAAACCAGCAGAAAAACUUAGAGAUGACAUGACGUCCAGAGAGAUGAGAAGAGAUGCAAUGCGUGACACACCCAGCAGAGAGCAGCACGACGACAUCACUAGAUAACAUCAGCAGCUCUGCACCAUUGGAGAUAUGAGUCGCCCCAGCAACACAUGAACCCUAGAUAUGUGUCUCUCCAUGUUGCUGCUGCUGUUGUUGUUACUGUUGCUUGUCCCUUGUCCUCUAAGAGGACCAUGACAUCAGGAAGACAAUGCCAUGACAUACACAUGAAUUGGACUGAAGUGAGGGAGGGCUGUGCAAAGUCACCAGCCUCACUUUCUGGAGGCAUCCACCUGGAUCCAGUGGCAAGAUAUAGAUCAGGAUGCCUGGAGAGGGUCGCUGUAUACUCCUCCUGUGUGCUCUGGCUACCCAGGUUCCAGGAAGAAAGGACAAGAGACAUCCCUCACAAGGCAAUGACAUCAGAAUAAAUAUGAGUGGGCUGAGUGCUAUUUGUGUGAAGUUACAAGAGUGCAUGGCCACUGAAAAAUGGAGAAACUACACCCCAGAUGGUGUGUGGAGGUAAAGAACCAUCUGCCAAUUUCUACCACAAUCUAAAGCCCAGCAGAUUACACUGAAGACACAGAUGAAGAAUGAGAGAGGGCAAGAGCUUACUCAACACUGCUGCCUCAAUGGGGGUAAGACAAAAAGACUGUAGCUGAGCCAAACGAGACUACCAGGAGCCAAUAAGUAAUGAUGGUAUAGCUGUCCCCAUUGAUGGAGAAUGACAAUGGUGAUUAACUCAAUGCAUUACUGGUCUGUAUUUCAUUUGUUCAAUGGCAGAUGAGAAGAAAACUAUGGCAAAAGAGGAAGACUACGGUAAACUAUAAAGAGGAGCUUCUCUUUCCAGUCACUUGGAUUUCUAACAGCUGGGGGCUUAAGCUCUGAAGACUCGAGACUGCCCUUGCUGUUCAGACAUCAGGUGUCCUCCUACAUUCUUGCCAUAUACCACCCCCUUGGCCAUUUUGCUCUUCAAAAGGCAAAAGUUCCUGAAAGCCAUGGGGAAGCAUGAAAGAGUUCUCUGAGAUAAGAAAAUCAUUUUAAAAAUAAUUCAGAGGGACCAAGAGACUGAGAGAAAACACAGGAGGGAUGAAGACCAAUACCGACCUGA